rnacentral:rRNA from 1 species
UACGUAGGGUCCAAGCGUUAAUCGGAAUUACUGGGCGUAAAGGGUGCGCAGGCGGUCUCGUAAGCUGGGUGUGAAAGCCCCGGGCUUAACCUGGGAAUGGCAUUCAGGACUGCGAGGCUUUGAGUGUGGCAGAGGGAGGUGGAAUUCCACGUGUAGCAGUGAAAUGCGUAGAGAUGUGGAGGAACACCGAUGGCGAAGGCAGCCUCCUGGGCCAGCACUGACGCUCAUGCACGAAAGCGUGGGGAGCAAACAGGA